rnacentral:rRNA from 1 species
CAGUCGACUCCUACGGGAGGCAGCAGUGGGGAAUAUUGCACAAUGGGCGCAAGCCUGAUGCAGCAACGCCGUGUGAGUGAAGAAGGUUUUCGGAUCGUAAAACUCUGUCCUAAGGGAAGAAACAAAUGACGGUACCUUAGGAGGAAGCCCCGGCUAACUACGUGCCAGCAGCCGCGGUAAUACGUAGGGGGCAAGCGUUAUCCGGAAUCACUGGGCGUAAAGGGUGCGUAGGCGGCUUAGCAAGCCAGGGGUGAAAGGCAUUGGCUCAACCAAUGUAAGCCUUUGGAACUGUUAGGCUUGAGUGCAGGAGAGGUAAGUGGAAUUCCUAGUGUAGAGGUGAAAUUCGUAGAUAUUAGGAGGAACACCAGUGGCGAAGGCGACUUACUGGACUGUAACUGACGCUGAUGCACGAAAGCGUGGGUAGCGAACAGGAUUAGAUACCCUGGUAG